rnacentral:rRNA from 1 species
AGCAGUAGGGAAUCUUCCACAAUGGACGCAAGUCUGAUGGAGCAAUGCCGCGUGAGUGAAGAAGGGUUUCGGCUCGUAAAACUCUGUUGUUGAGGAAGAACGGGUGUCAGAGUAACUGUUGACAUCGUGACGGUAUUCAACCAGAAAGCCACGGCUAACUACGUGCCAGCAGCCGCGGUAAUACGUAGGUGGCAAGUGUUGUCCGGAUUUAUUGGGCGUAAAGCGAGCGCAGGCGGUUAUUUAAGUCUGAUGUGAAAGCCUUCGGCUUAACCGAAGAAGUGCAUCGGAAACUGGAUGACUUGAGUGCAGAAGAGGACAGUGGAACUCCAUGUGUAGCGGUGAAAUA